rnacentral:rRNA from 1 species
AAACGCUUGAAGUCAGUCGCAUUGGCUGGGAUCAACCUUGCAUUGUGAGGUGUACUCCCUGGUCAAUGGGUCAGCAUCAGUUUUGACCGCUGGAAAAAGGUUAGGGGAAUGUGGCAUCUCCGGAUGUGUUAUAGCCCCUGAUUGUAUACAGUGGUUGGGACUGAGGAACUCAGCACGCCGCAAGGCCGGGUUUAACCACGUUCGUGCUUAGGAUGCUGGCGUAAUGGCUUUAAUCGA